GUCCAAGUAGCUGUGCCAUCUCCAGAGCAAAGGGCUUGUGCCAGGCUGGCUGCCCGCAGCUUCCCCUUGGAAAUCCCCCGUUUCUAACCUUAACUGCUUUUCCUACAAGGAAGAAGCAUCCCCCCCCCGAGUUUGAAGGUAAGCUCCGGAUGUUCACUGCAGCGUGGAGAUCUGUGGGUAUAAAUCCUGUUCA
rnacentral:lncRNA from 1 species